CCUCCCUCCCGCCGCCGGGCCCCUCCUCCGCCGGACCUUGCCCCGGCCCUCCUCCGCCCCCGACCGCGGCGACCCCGACCUCGACCUCCUCCACGCGGUGCCCCUGAUGACCUCCUCCGCGCGGCGCCCCUGACCUCCUCCGCGCGUCGCCCCUGGCCUCCUCCGCGUGGUUCUUGGAGACCGAGGCCAGCUGCUCCCUCGAGGAGGCGUGGAACCUCGAGCGCCCGCUGUUCAUCCCCAAGGAGGAGCUGUUCCCGAGCCCGCCGGCCGGGGUGCGCGUCGAGGACACCGUGCUGCUCGCUCAGGGAUAAUGGGACGAUUGGGACGAUUCAGCUCUCGUCGUUGGAAAUGUGUCAACAAGGAUGCAGCAGCCAAUGUUGAGGCUAAGGGCGAAAACCAAGAAGCAGAAAGGUGCGAGGAUGGUAGCCCUUCCGCGUACCUUAACCUGGACCAAGAUGCUGAGGCUGAGGAAGUAGCUCCGGAAGUCUGUGAGACAACCUCAGAACCAAGCCAUAGGGGCAAGCGCGGACCGAACAAGAUGUCAAAGAGCCGAACUCUUAUCAACGAGCUCGAUGAACUUGGAGAACCUGUUGAUCCUGUAGGUGUAGUGGGGCCAUACAAGUCCACUUGUGGGGUGAUAGUUAAGGAUAACAUCCCUAUCAAGUAUUGGGUAUGAAGUGUGAAGGAUAAGACCUGGGCGGUCCCGGACUCGCUUAAGCAAAUAUGUUGGGACAAGCCGAAAGAGAAGUACAUUUUCCCUGAGGGCUCCGAGGAGGUCGCGAAGAAGCGGGCACUGUUUAUCAUGUCGAACUCAUUCAGAGGUUGGAAAGGGGAUUUGUUUAGAGGGCAUGUGCAAAAAGGAACCGAGCCAGACUGGAAGUACUUCCCAAACCAGCAGUAGUACUGGGAUGAAUUUGUGAGUUUCAAGCUGUCCAAGCCUCAGCAAGCACUUAGUGAGAAAAAUAAGGUCAAUUCCUCCCAAAAUGAUAAUCCUCAUAGGACUGGCUGUGGGUACUUGAGGAAAAUACCGAAAUGGGAGCAACAACAGGAGCAGUUAAUCCAGAGUGGAGUUACACUACAGACAGAUAGGUGGGAACCUUGCUCUGUGAGAUAUCUUCUUGCAAGAGGGGCUAUUCUACAACCCUGAUGGUUCCCUAAGUUACCGUACUCCUUUAGCCGAGAACCUGGCACAUAGAAUUCAGUCGGCCCAUGAGGAAGUAGAACAAGGUAUUUUUACUCCAGACAGGGAGAAUGGCGAGCUGACCCAAGCCUUGUGAAGAAAAGAGCACCCGGGUCGUACAUGAGGGACAGAUUGGUUCCAUGGAGUGUCUCUUUUCAAGCUGAUAAAGACACAUAUAGAAGCCGGUCGAGGAAACGAGCCGAAACGAGAGUCACAGUGGCAUGACCUCCUUCAGGCUAUGCGUGAGGAAGUAACUCAACAUAGCGAUAGGUUACGAGCAGAGUUCGAGGAGAAAUUGAGCAGAAUUCACCAGAUCAACCUAUCCCUGCAUUCACGAGUCCGACAGGGAUUUGUAUUAGCUGUGGAAGCACUGUGCUUCCUGAAGAAGAACAAGUUGGCACUUUUCCUGUGGAUGAAAUCAUGAAACCAACACCUUGCAAGCUAUCCAGGAUAAGAUCUUUAAGAACAAGGUGGCAACAGGUCAAGCUUGGCCUGGGAAUGAUGUCAUAAUGCAUGGUUGUCCAUUACCUUUAGGCUACGCCAAGGUUACUAUUGAUACAAUAGUUAAGAGGAGGUAUUGUUGUACGGUUGAGUUGGAUAUACCAGGACAGGAUGGCAAAAAGUUACUUGGAAAGAACAUGGGCUGCAUUGUGGCGUGGCGCAAGCGCUAUAUAUCAUUUGAUCCAGAGUCUUAUUCCGACGAUGAUGAUGCAGAUGGAAUAGAGGACCUGUAUCCUCCUUCCUCAGCGCCUGAUCCAAGCCCGCUGCCUCAAAGGGACACAAGCCCGUUGCCUCAAAGGGACACAAGUCCGCUGCCUCAAAGGGAUACAAGUCCACUGCCUUAAAAGGACCAAAGUUCAUCGCCACAACCAAAGACUCAGAAGAUUAAUUCAUCUAAUAGAAUUGGAUCAUCCCAGAAGAAAGCUUCCGAAGCACCUGCAAAGAAAAAAUUGAGUGGUAACAUAACACCGGUCGUCAAAGGAAAAGAAAAACCACCGGUCAACAAAGGUGCAGUAGAGCAUUAUUUGAAGAUGGCUUCAGUUCCACAGACAAAGAAACCGCGAGGUCCGCCGUCAGAUUUUGAACGAACUGCCUCAAAAUGGUCUGUGCAACAAGUGGGCAAAGCCAAAUAUCAUGCUAAUGUUGAAUAUAGGGCAAGGGCUGAAUUUCGAGAAGAGAACAACUUAACGGAGGAAGAUCUUAAAAUAAUUGAGGAAGGUCCCGGUAUUGCACCACCACCGUUGCUAUGGCCAUUUAGGUUGGGGUAUGACCUUGUGCAUCUAGAACAAGUGCCAGCUUUACCAACGAGGUUGCGGCAAUUACAUUAAUGGUAGAAAAGUCAGGAUAGUGAGAGUUUUGGAGCAAGAUACAGGUAGGAACAUUUUCACAAGGGUUCAUGCAUAUUGGGGUGAGAUUCGAGUAUCUUUAUGAGUUCUACCAGCAGUCUGCCCUCGAUGUACACAUCCUUGCCUUGUGGUGUCUGAUGGAGGCACACAAAUUCAAGGAAAGAGGAAUUAAUGACAUAGGCUUCUUGGAUCCUACUUCUAUAAAUGAAGCUAUAGUUGGAUUCAGGAGCACCGUCAAUGCUGGGUGUGAUGCCUUAGUUGAUAUGCAAGACAAGAAAUGGAUUCUUCUGCCCUACAACCAUCAGUGCAUGUAUCCCAACUCCUAUAUAUAUUUCCAUUUAACCAUCAUAAGAGUAAGCUUCAUAUUGGAUGUCCUAAAUGUAGUAACCAUUAUAUUCUCAUUGGGAUCAACCUAGACAAGAGCAAGAUCCGCAUUUUGGAUUCCAAAAGACUAAGUCGUGAUUUAAUCCAGCCUUGCAUCGACAUGUUAAACAAGGCCUUUGCGAAGUAUCGUAAAAAAGUAAAGUAUAUAGACCUUUCUGGAUGGAUUUUAUUGUACGUGAUGCCAAAUAUGUCCAGAGGCAGCCUUUGGGCAAUGAUCACUGCGAGUUCUAUGUAAUGCAUUUUAUGCACGUCCACAGUGGAGAUGAUAUGACUGUUGCUAACCGAAAGGUUAGUAAAAACUUGAGUAUAUACAAUGUGAAAAUAUGUUUAGUGUUUUAAUACAUUCUUUCUAUUAUCAUUCUUUGUUGCAUCGUGGCAAGCUUGGAACUUCAGAGUUGCUACUAAGUGAUAUUUUAGCACUUCAAGAGGAGCUUGCUGGAUUUAUCAUGGACCACGUAGUGAAUCCGGGUGCAGAGUUCUGCCUCAUCUAGCUUGAAGGAUUUUGUUUUAAAUUUGUGCAUCGUAUUAUGUAUGACUCAUGGUAUGGACUACGUUUGAUGUAUGGACUUGUGGUUUCUAAUUGAUGUAUGGACUUGGUGUUUGUAAUCGGUGUAUGAACACUAUGUAAGAUUGAUUUCUAUUUACUAUGUGAAAUUUGAUGUAUUUAUUAUA